rnacentral:lncRNA from 1 species
GUUCUGCGCUGUGAGCCGGGGCACAAAGAGCCCUCUGCACUCGCGCCGCAGGACCGCGGACCCAAGAGAGCAGCAAGUUCCUGGGACAGAGGAGAGAGAAGGGAAUUUCCAGGUUCUUCAGGACGUUCACAACCACACUGAGAAGCAUCUUUGCAGAUAAGUAUUUAAACUUACCAGCCCAUAGCCUACCAGCCUGCCCUCUUCUGGUCUGUGCAGGAAAGUGUAGUAUCCUAGAAUACCAAAGUGGGAGGGGAAACGGGUGAUGUAGCUCAUUCUCUUUUCUACCUCUAUGGAAGAAAGAAAGAGCCUGUCCCCAUUUUGUGGGGUCCCAGAAAGGGUGAUUUUUCACACUCCACAUUUGGCAUUAGGGCUAGUAUUUUAUAAACGUCACUGUAUGGAACUUUUGAAGGCUGAGUUAAAUGACUUCAUCUUGUGUACUUGUAGAACUGCUAUUAGAAGGAGGCUGGGGACUCCCUGAUGAUGUGAACCAGCCCUUCUCUUCUCAGUUUUAGCAUUUUGUGAUCAUAUUUAUAAACCUCGGCUAGGGCUCCUUGGCCUUACAGUUAGGUGAAGAG